UUAAGUGUUUGGGAUGGCUUCGGAAGCAUAUUGGCAUGGAAUUGUAAUUAGAAAACAUGUCUUAGCGAUAUAAUUGACAACAAACAACAAGAAGGAAAAAAAAGUAAUUAACAUUGAUUGAAGACAUAAUUUGGAGCAAGCAUUGGAGAGAAGAUUUUGAAGGAUUUUUAUAUCAAUUGCAAAUUGGGCUAUAGAGAAUGGUGGUUCUGGAUUUAUUCUCCUCCUUUAGUUUUAUAUUUGUAAUUGGAAGGAUGUUUUCUUUAAUUAAUUCAGUUUUUAUUUCAUUG
rnacentral:lncRNA from 1 species